GCACCGGUGGCUGGGGUAACUAGCCACUCCCCCUGGACCAGCCAGUAUAAGAACCAGCUCCACCAAACAGUCCUCCUCUUUCUUUGCUGCUCACAGGAGGAGAUGAGUAUCUGUCUCUAGAGUGUAGUUAUGUUAUAUGGUUAACCAAUUGUUUUUUCCAUAACUAAUAAUUGUUAUUGGUUGGUACUCCUACCGCCGUUUUACUUUACCCUCUGCGCGUCAUUUUGCCAGAUUGGGUCGCUCUGCGCCGUCUCUCCCCGCUUUUGCUCCCUCUGCCUUCUCGCCA